rnacentral:rRNA from 1 species
GAUUUCUGGCUUGAAACAUCUGGCCGGCCACGGUUUCGUGUGUUAGUGCUUGAUGUUCUGGCCAUCCUUCCAAUCGCUGUUGGCUAUUCUUCAUUGAAUGGUCAGUAGUAUUGGAUCUUUUACUUUGAAAAAAUUAGAGUGUUUCAAGCAGGCUUUAUGCUAUGAAUACAUUAGCAUGGAAUAAUAAUUUAGGACUUCGGUUCUAUUUUGUUGGUUUCUAGGACUGAAGUAAUGAUUGAUAGGGAUAGUUGGGGGUGCUAGUAUUCAGCGGCCAGAGGUGAAAUUCUCGGAUUCGCUGAAGACUAACUUAUGCGAAAGCAUU